CACGGGAGGCAGCAGUGGGGAAUAUUGCACAAUGGGCGAAAGCCUGAUGCAGCGACGCCGCGUGAGGGAUGACGGCCUUCGGGUUGUAAACCUCUUUCAGCAGGGAAGAAGCGAAAGUGACGGUACCUGCAGAAGAAGCGCCGGCUAACUACGUGCCAGCAGCCGCGGUAAUACGUAGGGCGCAAGCGUUAUCCGGAAUUAUUGGGCGUAAAGAGCUCGUAGGCGGUUUGUCGCGUCUGCUGUGAAAGCCCGGGGCUCAACCCCGGGUCUGCAGUGGGUACGGGCAGACUAGAGUGAUGUAGGGGAGACUGGAAUUCCUGGUGUAGCGGUGAAAUGCGCAGAUAUCAGGAGGAACACCGAUGGCGAAGGCAGGUCUCUGGGCAUUAACUGACGCUGAGGAGCGAAAGCAUGGGGGGGAGCGAACAGGAUUAGAUACCCUGGUAGUCCACGCAA
rnacentral:rRNA from 1 species